CAGUGGACAGGGGAACCAGAAGAGAAGUUUGAAUCUGGAUCUGAAAUUGCUCAGAGCUAGGGUUUUUGUUGAGGAGCUUCCACAACCUCCUUAGGCAGUCUGUUCCAUUGGCCUACAGGCCCCUCUACUCUUGCAGAGUCCAGCUGGGAGAAUGCCAGAAAUACUGUGAGGGUGUGUGCCUGCCUCUGGGAAGGCUUGAAAUGCACCUGGCACCAGACGCAGACACCAAGAAAGCCAGCAGACAGAUCCUGGAAGAAAGGCUUGGGUGUAUGCCUUGCUAAGAGAGACCUUGCACCUUAUGAAUAUUGAAAGGCUUUUGCCACAGAUUUCUGACCCUUUUGUGAAACAAUUUAACAGGCUGAAUGGGAAGCUGGAGAAAUCUGCAACAGAUGAUGUUGUAACCAGCUGAAAGGGGCAAGAGACAUUUCCAGUUCAGCUUUCCCUUGGAUUUGAACAAUUGCAAAAGGGUUUGUGACUCAAGGUGUACAUGAAUGGUGCUGGAUUGGUCCCAUUAGAGAGUGAAGUUCAUUGAAAAGAAACAGCAUUCUGCAGUUCCCUGCAUUGCCCUCAAUCUCCCUCUAGCAGGUGAGAGGGUAGCUCAAUCCCGCGUUCAUUCAGUACCUGGCCUCCCUAUUGAGACUACCUGCAAUACUGUUAAAUGUGGCAUUGGCUUUCCAAUUAAAAGUAUCCAUUAGGAAGUGGCCUGAGAUCACUAAGUCAUCUCACACAGGACACUGAACAGCAGUCAGAUGAGAAUUUUAGGUCAUGGGUAUUAAACAUUUUUCAUACUUGCUAGUAUUAUAAUCAAUUCCUCUGUUAAUCUGUAGCAGAAACAGCUUUGUUCUGCUCACACAUAGGAAUAUCUCUGUGAAGUCUGUGAAAACUGACUUGCACUUAGGACAAAGACAACUGUAGAGAAGGACGAGUGGAACUUUAGCACGGGGCCUUUCUGCAACUCUGACCUGGCAUAGACUAAACUUUUACAACAUCUGAACAUAGCUGGGUUCAUGUUUGCUGACACCAUGCUGAAUAUAAUGCAGUGAUCAGCGUAAACCAGGCAAAAUAAUGUGUUUGGUUUCCUGGCAGCUAACCAUGCCCAGGCCUUGGAUUGAGAGGCUCACAUCCUGAUCUCAGUCGCAAAAGUGUAGAAGUCAGCAGAGACAACACAUAACCGUUGAUGGGGGUGGGGAUCAAAAUUUAAAGCAACAGUUUUCAAACUUUUUGAGCUGAGACCCCCUUUGAGUUACAAUUUUUGGUUGCUUCCAGACAAAAAGAGGUGAGUCAAGGGGCAGAGGUGGUGCUCCCUCACCAAGCUCCACUGUGCGGUGCUGAAGCCUGAGCCUGCCUGGCAUUGCUGCUCACCCCCACCCCGAACAUUCCUCCAUGCCCCGUAGGGGGGUAUUCCCCACAGUUUGAAAACCUCUGAUUUAAAGGUUCUGGUGGUAUGCAGCAGGGUUCAGGGCAGGCCAUAUAAACCCUGACAGAAAACUCAUGUUGCCCCCCACCACUACCCUCUGGAAGUAAAUUUUCACCUAAAAGGAGCUAUUCUAGACUUAUACCAGUGUAAGUGAGAUCCAAGUCCAUGUCUUAUUCCUCUGUCACCCUAUUUCAUAUUCAAAUUGUUUUAUUUUUUUAAUUCCUAAAAAGUAGGUAGCAUAAUACAUAAAGCAUCCCCUCUAACUCCUUUGCCUACUUAAAUGACAGUACUGGAUUUGGGUCUGUCUGGUGUCAAAGGGCUAUAUGCUUCAGAAAAAGAAUAGGGGUUGAGAAAAAAAGAAGUGGAAAUAAUAGUAAACAUGAGCCAUUUACAUAGAUUCUCCAGGAAGAAAAAUGGGAAAAUGCCAAAAAAUAAACCCUCCCAUCUGACAAAGUUGACCCUGUCUGGAUUUGGCUUUUGCAAUCCUUACACUGCAACUGAUAAUGCUAGAAAAAUGUCCUUCACAAUAACAGCAGACAAUCCCUCUAGAUUUAAUGCAACAGCCAUCCACAGUGACAUGCACAAUUCAUUACAAACACAGGUACUAGUGUCCCUCUUGCACCUUCAUACAACUAUAGUGUCCAUAAAGAUGCAACACAUCAACAGUUUUAUAGCAAAGAUUUUUGCUUUUAACUAACAAUCAAUAUUAUUUUUAAUCAUUCUCUACUUUUUUACAUUGCAUUUAAAUUGGCUUUAUUUCAAGAUCAAACAAAAAUAUUCAGGAUCUCACACACACACACACACACACACACACACACACACACACACACUAGGGCUGUUAACUAUUACAAAAAAUUGUGAUUAAUCAUGAGAAAAAAUCACGAUUGCAGUUUUAAUCACAAUAGAAUACAAUUUAAAUAUUUUGGAUGUUUUCUACAUUUUAAAAUAUAUUGAUUUCAAUUACAACACAGAAUACAAAAUGUACAGUACUCACUUUAUAGUUUUUCUUACAAAUAUUUGCACUGUAAAAAAUUUUUUUCAGUUCACCUCACACAAGUACUAUAGUACAAUCUCUAUCAUUCUAUUCUAUAAAGUGCAACUUACAAAUGUAGAAUUAUGUUUUUCUGCCUAACUGCACUCAAAAAUAAAACAAUGUAAAACUUUGGAGCCUACAAGUCCAUUUAGUUCUACUGCUUGGUCAGCCAAUUGCUCAGACAAACAAAUUUGUGUACAUUUACGGGAGACAAUGCUGCCCGCUUCUUAUUUACAACAUCACCUGUAAGUGAGAAUAAACAUUCGUAUGGCACUUUUGUAGCCGGCAUUGCAAGAUAUUUACAUGCCAGAUAUGCUAAAUGUUCGUAUCCUUCAUGCUUUAACCAACAUUCCAGAGGACAUGCAUCCAUGCUGAUGACGGGUUCUGCUCGAUAACAAUCCAAAGCAAUGUGGACCAGCGCAUGUUCAUUUUCAUCAUCUGAGUUAUAUGCCACUAGCAGAAGGUUGAUUUUCUUUUUUGGUGGUUCGCAUUCUGGAGUUUCUGCAUCAGAGUGUUGCUCUUUUAAGACUUCUGAAAGCAUGCUCCACACUUCAUCCCUCUCAGAUUUUGGAAGGCACUUCAGCUUCUUAAAUCUUGGAUCAUGUGCUAUAGCUAUUUUUAGAAAUCUCACAUUGGUACCUUCUUUGCGUUUGUCAAAUAUGUAAUGAAAGUGUUCUUAAAAUGAACAUGUGCUGGGUCAUCAUCUUUCACAUGAAAUAUAUGGCAGAAUGCAGGUAAAACAGAGCAGGAGACAUACAAUCCUCCCCCAAGGAGUUUAGUCACACAAGCAUGUCCUCUGGAAGGGUGGCUGAAGCAUAAAGGGACAUACGAAUGUUUCGCAAAUCUGGCAUGUAAAUAUCUUGCAAUGCUGGCUACGCCUGUUCUCAUUUUCAGGUGACAUUGUAAACAAGAAAGGGGGCAGCAUUAUCUCCUGUAAAUGUAAACAAACUUGUAUGUCUGAGCAAUUGGUUGAAUAAAAAGUAGGACUUGGUGGAUUUGUAGGCUCUAAAGUUUUACAUUUUGUUUUUGAGUACAGUUACAUAACCAAAAAAAAAAAAUCUACAUUUUUAAGUUGCACUUUCAGGAUAAAGAAAUUGCACUACACUAUUUAUAUGUUGUGAACUGAAAAAUCUAUUUCUUUUGUUUCAUCUUUUUUACAGUGCAAAUAUUUGUAAGAAAAUAUAAAGUGAGCACUGUACACUCUGUAUUCUGAGUUGUAAUUAAAAUAUUUGAAAAUGUAGAAAAACAUCCAAAAAUAUUUAUAAUCAAUUUAAAUUGGUAUUCUAUUAAUGUUUAACAGUGUGAUUAAAACUGCAAUUAAUUGUGGUUAAAUUUUUUAGUCAAAUUAGUUUGUUUUGAGUGAAUUGCUUGAGUUACUGCAAUAUAAAUAAAUGGACAUUAAACAAUUCCUGAACUUUGUCUGUCUCAGUAUUUUUAAAGAUGACAUUGAUCAAAGGGACUGUGAACUCUAAUGGAAACUGAUCAGCAAAGCAAGGUGAUGUCACUAAACAGGGCAUCUCAUUGUGGAAUUCCAAGCUCUUCCUUUCAUCUGAUGGGCAGUCAAAUGAUCCAUAACCUUCUCCCUAAGCUCGAUAACAGCUAUUUCUAAACUGCUAGCAUUUCUUUGGAAAGAUGCAUGGUUGAAUGGAUUAAUUUUUAUGCAAAGCAAUCAGUUAUGUAUCUGCUUCAUAAUAUUCUAGCAUUACAGAUCUGGAGGGCAGAAGGCAGCUCUCCCAUAUUCCCUUUUGUACCCAACAUGUUACCAUUGCACACAGUCUGCUGCUGCAGUGGAGGGGUGGUGGUUUGUGAAGAAUGGCAGAAGUAGAGACUUUGGGAGACGAUAUUUUAGCCAUCACCAUAUAAUGCACGUUCCAAUCAUGUGCUGCUCUCAUCUGGUGUACUUGGGUCUUGUGAAGAGGCACAAAUGCACUCAGUGUGUUUUAGGACUUGUGUACACACUGGGGUCUUGUGCUGUAUGGCGGUAUGAUUUCUAAAGCAUACUAACACUGUUGAUUAUUAAUUAGUCCAUGUAGACCCUGCUGAUGCACUUUAAUGUGGCGCUAUUUGAAACAGUUCUGUCAAAGUGCAUGUGGGAACCUUUAGUGCACAUCCACGGAGUCUACAUGGACCAAUUAAUGUGCAACCAUUAGUGCACUUUAGAAAUCACACGCCUGUAGAGCAUGUUACCUCACCAUGUAGACAAGCCCUUAGACUAUAAAUCCUCUAGGACCAGAAAUGCCUCUUUUCUGUGUUUGAACAGCACCUAGUACAAUAGGCCCCCAAUCCUGAGCCUUUGGGUGCUCCAGCCAGGACAGAUAUUUACUAUUACUGUAAGAACUCUAGACAUGAAGCAUUCAGAUACUGUGGUGAUGACGGCUAUAUAUAAACCAGGAGAGAACAGACUGCUAACUGAAUUGAAAGCAAAACAAUUCCUAUUUUCAGCUGAUGCUGGAACCUCUGUGGGGAAAGUUCACUUUGAUAGGACAUGCAGCUAAAUAUUUGUAGUCUCUUUAAAAUCAUAUUCAUUACCUUCUCCUUUGCUAGUGCUGAUGCUUUCUUUAAUGGCUUUGUGUAUCUGGCUGCAAGUGGAACAGAAUAGAAAGAUUUUGGACAGAGAGGACGAAGUGGUGGGUAGAACUGUCUUGUUGCUAUGGGGGAAUCACUCAGAAUGAUUUGUCAGACAAUGGACCACGGCAUCAGGAUGUCGGUGGGGUGUGAGUGUGAGAGAGAGACUCACACUGUCUCUGUAAAUAAGAAUCUGGAUAUAAAACUAGAAUAGCUAGCAAGACAGAUCGCAAUGAAAUUUGAACUGUAUGGCAAUUCUGCUUCUGAGCAGCCCUGCUAGUCCUCAUUCAGCUUUGAGGGGAAUUAACUAUAUUAACAGUGAAGCAGCUAUUACAUUCACAACAGGAGCUGGACAGCGAUGUGAUGUAUAUGUUGUGAAGUCUUCACUUAUGUAAAUGCCACAUCUUUCUCUGUGGGGGCAGUUUGCUGAAAAAGCCAUCCAGAGAAUCUCCCCCAAUGGCAGAAAGUUGACAGUGGAUCCAAAAGGCGCUACUUUAGGAAGACAGAUGAAGAGAACACGCUUACUUCAUCGCUGUGGCCCAGCUGAGUUUAGUAUCGUUAUGUGUGUGUGUGGUUUGGUUUGUUUUUUUUUUUUUAAAAAAGCUAUAUAGAGAUAAAUCACUAAUUCAAAAAGGUUGCAUACUCCCCCACCCACUGGGGGAAAAAAGCCUAGUUCACAUCCACCAGCUUUAUGUACUGUUGUGUAGAGCUGUGUUGUUGCUGUCUGGUGAGAGUGCUGAUUUAAUGAAAUACCAAGCUUCCUUGGAGCCACACAUCCUAAUCCCAAGAACAAUGGCUACGCCUGGCCAGAUAGAUAAAUGAGUUCCAUGCAGGUGGAAUUCCAUAUCUGUGUGUCUUUUAAGCAAUACUUUAAAAUUCAAGGGCCUACCUGCUCUACCUAGACACACAAAAUCCUAUGGCACUUCUUCCAGUUCUCCAUUCGUUACUAGUGGGCUGCAUACCAGUUUUCCACCCCAUUGCUGCCCUCCAGAUCAAGAGUCAUAACAAUCCAUAGUGUGCUAAGUUUUCAAAACACUGUAUAAAAAAUCCUCGCUUGUCUCCUAUGGGGCAGGAAAGUUUACAGAUG